rnacentral:rRNA from 1 species
AGCGAAUAGAUACCCUGGUAGUCCACGCCGUAAACGAUGGAUGCUAGCUGUUAUCAGUAUCGACCCUGGUAGUAGCGAAGCUAACGCGUUAAGCAUCCCGCCUGUGGAGUACGAGCGCAAGCUUAAAACUCAAAGGAAUUGACGGGGACCCGCACAAGCGGUGGAGCGUGUUGUUUAAUUCGAUGGUAAGCGAAGAACCUUACCAAGGUUUGACAUCCUGGGAAAGUUGGUGAAAGCCGACCGUGCCUUCGGGAACCCAGUGACAGGUGAUGCAUGGCCGUCGUCAGCUCGUGUCGUGAGAUGUUUGGUUAAGUCCAUCAACGAGCGCAACCCUUAUAGUCUGUUGUAUUUCUCAGGCUAGACUGCCCCGGUAACGGGGAGGAAGGAGGGGAUGAUGUCAGGUCCGUAUUUCCCUUACACCUUGGGCUACAAACACGCUACAAUGGCCGGUACAAAGGGCUGCCAAGCAGCAAUGCGGAGCAAAUCCCAUCAAAGCCGGUCUCAGUUCGGAUUGUUGGCUGAAACUCGCCAGC